rnacentral:rRNA from 1 species
AUUGAACGCUGGCGGCGUGCUUAACACAUGCAAGUCGAUCGGUAACAGGUGUAGCAAUACAUGCUGACGAGAGGCGGACGGGUGAGGAACGCUUGGGAAUCUGCCUAUCAGCGGGGGACAACCCGGGGAAACCCGGGCUAAUACCGCAUACGAUCUACGGAUGAAAGCCGGGGACCGCAAGGCCUGGACCCGAUAGAUGAGCCGAAGUCGGAUUAGCUAGUUGGCGGGGUAACGGCCCACCAAGGCGACGAUCCGUAGCUGGUCUGAGAGGACGAUCAGCCACACCGGAACUGAGACACGGUCCGGACUCCUACGGGAGGCAGCAGUGGGGAAUAUUGGACAAUGGGCGAAAGCCUGAUCCAGCGACGCCGCGUGGGUGAAGAAGGCCUGCGGGUUGUAAAGCCCUUUCGGUAGGGACGAAAGCUCUUGCUCUAACAAAGCAGGAGGUUGACUUAACCUACAUAAGAAGCACCGGCUAACUCUGUGCCAGCCGCCGCCGUAA